UCUACCAUUUUUUUCCGCCCUGUAAGGCCUUUCCGUCCAGUUGUAUUUUCUCCAUCAGUGCUUGUAAAGUGGCUUACGUCACAUCUGCUAUGACUUGAGUCACCCGAAUGGAUGUGACAACAUCUUCUCAAUAGAACUACUAUAGCACCCGUUCUUGCGAAUAUGAGUGCCUGUAUUUAUUCUUCGUCUAGCGGUGUUACCACGUUUCUGAAUACGUACGGGAAGAUAUGGACCCGCUAUCGAAGUUUUCAUGUGGGAACGACGACACAGAGAAAUAAGUGUAUAUAUGCUGAAAUAAGGAGAACUGAACUAGGUCACUACCUCUAUGCACAGCACUACGAAGUCGGAUCUAAUUGGGUUAGCCAGCUGUUUGACGCAGAAGCAAUAGAAAACCAAUCUAGGGAACCUGUACUCCGGAUAAAGAUGAAAAAAGGAAGACACCCAUAUGAUUACACCUUGCGGUUCUCGUCUCCUGUGGAACGGUGUGCCGUAUUUAGUUUUUACCUUCAAGGUAAGCCUGAGUGCGAGAUGCUAGUUUGGGAGCAUCACGUUCAACAAAGUGUGCCCGCGUGCCAGUUGGCAUAUAAAAAAUAUUGUGUAAGAGAGUUUCCUAUCUACACACGCCAAUGUGCACCACCUAAACGCAAAAUGCAAGCUACUCGCUCUCACUGAUAACAAGACUCGUCGCUGUUCGAAGGCACCUUGAAUAAAACAUUUGGCAUUUCUGU